GACGAACGCUGGCGGCGUGCUUAACACAUGCAAGUCGAGCGAGGCCCUUUUCUUCGGAGAAGGUGCCCUAGCGGCGAACGGGUGAGUAACACGUGGGCAAUCUGCCCCUAGCACUGGGAUAACUCCGGGAAACCGGGGCUAAUACCGGAUAUGACCUCGGAAGGCAUCUUCUGUGGUGGAAAGAAUUUUGGCUAGGGAUGAGCCCGCGGCCUAUCAGCUAGUUGGUGGGGUAAUGGCCUACCAAGGCGACGACGGGUAGCCGGCCUGAGAGGGCGACCGGCCACACUGGGACUGAGACACGGCCCAGACUCCUACGGGGGGCGAGCAGUGGGG
rnacentral:rRNA from 1 species